rnacentral:ncRNA from 1 species
CUGCGCCUGCGGAGGACGCAGCACCUCCCACACCAGCGCAGUGCCUUGCAGGCGGCCGGGUGGUGUACCGUCUCGUGAACCGCAAUUUUGCGGAUUCAAAUUCCUUCC